UCACCCCGAGCCUCCUUUUCUCCAGGAUGAGCUUCCCCAGCUCUGUUCCCUUCUCUGGAUACGCUCCAGCACCUAAAUGCCUUUACUGUCGUGAUGGGCCCAAAAAUAAGCACAGAGCUUGAGAUGGUCCAUCAGUGCCCAGCACAAGGGACAGUCACUGCCCUGGUCCUGUGGCCACACUAUUGCUGAUACAAGCCAGGAUGGCACUGGCCUUCUUGGCCAUCUGGCAUGGGCUGGUUCAUAUCCAGCCAUCUGGCAAACAGCACACCCGGUUCCUUCUGCGACUGGGAUUUUAUUUCUCGUACACAACACAGGCUUUUCCCAGCUUCUCAGUCCACAAACGCUGCACAACAGAGUAUUCCCCCAGUUUCUAGUAUGGAAAUGACUGAAGAAACUUUUACCACGACCACCAGCAAUAAAAGUUAUCUGGGUUUUUGAGGUGCUUUAUCUUGCAGGUCCUGCUGCUUUCCAAAAUGUUCAGGUAUAAAGAGAGUCACACAAACAUAAAGUGGUGUGUCCUGUCUCUCCAAGCUGCUUGGUGACAAGAAAGGGAGAAGCCAGUGGAUGCCUGGUGCUUUCAGCUAAACUGAGUUGCUCUGGCUGCUGCAGUGUUCCCAUGACACAGAAAAGUACCCAAAAAAGCAGAGAAAGGAGAUGCUAAUUCUGGGAAGCUUCACAUUUUCACAGGGAACAAAAUCUAUUAAGACUUUUAGCACCAACAAGGCUGAGUAGAUACCUAAGGAUGACUGAAAACUCUGCUGGGCACUCAUGUUUGCUUACAAAAUGGAGUCAUAUUGUGAGGAUCAAUGGACUUACGAGCACAGAGUUCUAGACCACCUCACAGAUGACAAAGACUGCCAACUGAUGACCAUUUCCUGGGAAGAAUUAUAUGUCUUGAGCAAGGAGAGAAGAAGAUUCCUCCACUGAUCCCUUUUAGUG